AGAUUGAACGCUGGCGGCAUGCCUUACACAUGCAAGUCGAACGGUAGAGUAGCAAUACUCGAGAGUGGCGAACGGGUGAGUAAUAUAUCGGAACGUGCCCAGUCGUGGGGGAUAACGUAGAGAAAUUUACGCUAAUACCGCAUACGAUCUACGGAUGAAAGCGGGGGAUUCGCAAGAACCUCGCGCGAUUGGAGCGGCUGAUAUCAGAUUAGGUUGUUGGUGAGGUAAAAGCUCACCAAGCCGACGAUCUGUAGCUGGUUUGAGAGAACGACCAGCCACACUGGACUGACGACACGGCCCAGACUCCUACGGGGAGGCCAGCAGGUGGGGUAAUUUUGGACAAGUGGGACGAAAGCCUAGGAUCCAAGGCAAUCGCCGCGUGACCAAGGAAGGAACGGUCCUUCGGGUUACGUAAACUUGUCCGUUUUAGAACCGGAACGUAACGGUUCCUUUACGAAGUAAAG
rnacentral:rRNA from 1 species